GCACAUAGGCAGUGGCACCAAGCAGGUGCAGCCUCAGUUGCCGUACAUGGCACAGCCCAAGGAUGACCAGGUGCCGGGGGAGGCACACGAACUGAGUCAGUCAGCCUGAAUCGAGCAGACAGGUGAGGAUGACACCCAGCAGCAGACCUGAUUGUCAGCAGCAGCUGUUUCUGGACUCAGGCGGCAGUGCUGAAUCCAGGGGACAAAGGGAGCACUCACUGUUUUCCCCUUGAGUACUGUGCUCGGGGGCCUGUGGUGUUCCCUCCCCAAGCACUGAGGUUAUUGUUGCCCCUGCACGGCCACAAAGUCAGUGUGUCCCCUCCAGGAGCUAUAACUUCACCCUUUUGUUCUGUCCAUCCCCUAUUUGCACCCAGACCUUUCACCCAGAAGAGUCAGGUGUGAGUGGAACAAGGACCAUAUCAACCCAACGAGAGAAGCCAGGGGGCUGAACCAGAAUUAACUUGGAAUCUCCAAGGCUCCUGUGGGCUGUGCCAGAGGAUGAACCAACCAGGCCGGCCUGGAAAUGUUAGUAGGGGAAACGAAGACGCAUCAUGCCCAGGCCUGGUCAAGGGGGAAAUUUGAGGAAAGAUGGAGAGUGACGUUACCAAUGUGACAGCGUAAGAAUUUCCUAUCGUCCACACCCAAAGGCGCUGCUUAUGACUGUGAAAGAUGACAAGAGUGGAGCCAUAUUAAAACAGAGCCAGAGCAGCCACUUCAGAGGAAUGUCCUUCCACAUCUUGUUUUCUUUAUCUUCCAAACUGGACCAAACCGCCAACAUCCCAAGAAGUCAGCAAGGACAAGAACAUCCUGUCUGUGAGAAGUGAUGGAACUGGACUUUGCUGAUGGCUGAAUCGCUCACCAUCCAUGGGGUACCAGCCUAGCCUCUUGCCUGAUGACUAAAUCUCAAGCCAGUCUACGAGAGUGAAAUAACGGUCACCUGUGGAGGAGAGGACCCUCGUGGGAGUCAAGGAGUCCAGCAGAGAAGUUCCAGGACAGCACUGGGGCAAAACAAUCUGAGACUGGAAG